rnacentral:rRNA from 1 species
GGCUCAGAGCGAACGCUGGCGGCGUGCCUAACACAUGCAAGUCGAACGGUUCUGUUGGGGGCUUGCUCUCGACAGAGUAGUGGCAAACGGGUGAGUAACACGUGGGUAAUCUUCCUUCGAGUGAGGAAUAACUUCGGGAAACCGGAGCUAAUACCGCAUAACAUCUUGGAACGGCAGUUUCAAGAUCAAAGGGGGCGCAAGCUCCCGCUUGAAGUUGAGCUCGCGUCCUAUCAGCUAGUUGGUGAGGUAAUGGCUCACCAAGGCUCCGACGGGUAGCCGGCCUGAGAGGGUGGCCGGCCACACUGGGACUGAGACACGGCCCAGACUCCUACGGGAGGCAGCAGUGGGGAAUAUUGCGCAAUGGACGAAAGUCUGACGCAGCGACGCCGCGUGGGUGAUGAAGGCCUUCGGGUCGUAAAGCCCUGUUGAGGGAGAGAAAGCUACUGUCGGUUAAUACCCGGCAGUGGUGAUAGUAUCCCUAGAGAAAGCACCGGCUAACUACGUG